GGAGAAGGCUAUGUUGGCCGGGCGACGGUUGUCCCGGUUUAAGCGUGUAGGCUGGUUUUCCAGGCAAAUCCGGAAAAUCAAGGCUGAGGCGUGAUGACGAGGCACUACGGUGCUGAAGCAACAAAUGCCCUGCUUCCAGGAAAAGCCUCUAAGCAUCAGGUAACAUCAAAUCGUACCCCAAACCGACACAGGUGGUCAGGUAGAGAAUACCAAGGCGCUUGAGAGAACUCGGGUGAAGGAACUAGGCAAAAUGGUGCCGUAACUUCGGGAGAAGGCACGCUGAUAUGUAGGUGAAGCGACUUGCUCGUGGAGCUGAAAUCAGUCGAAGAUACCAGCUGGCUGCAACUGUUUAUUAAAAACACAGCACUGUGCAAACACGAAAGUGGACGUAUACGGUGUGACGCCUGCCCGGUGCCGGAAGGUUAAUUGAUGGGGUUAGCGGUAACGCGAAGCUCUUGAUCGAAGCCCCGGUAAACGGCGGCCGUAACUAUAACGGUCCUAAGGUAGCGAAAUUCCUUGUCGGGUAAGUUCCGACCUGCACGAAUGGCGUAAUGAUGGCCAGGCUGUCUCCACCCGAGACUCAGUGAAAUUGAACUCGCUGUGAAGAUGCAGUGUACCCGCGGCAAGACGGAAAGACCCCGUGAACCUUUACUAUAGCUUGACACUGAACAUUGAGCCUUGAUGUGUAGGAUAGGUGGGAGGCUUUGAAGUGUGGACGCCAGUCUGCAUGGAGCCGGCCUUGAAAUACCACCCUUUAAUGUUUGAUGUUCUAACGUUGGCCCCUGAUCGGGGUUGCGGACAGUGUCUGGUGGGUAGUUUGACUGGGGCGGUCUCCUCCUAAAGAGUAACGGAGGAGCACGAAGGUUGGCUAAUCCUGGUCGGACAUCAGGAGGUUAGUGCAAUGGCAUAAGCCAGCUUGACUGCGAGCGUGACGGCGCGAGCAGGUGCGAAAGCAGGUCAUAGUGAUCCGGUGGUUCUGAAUGGAAGGGCCAUCGCUCAACGGAUAAAAGGUACUCCGGGGAUAACAGGCUGAUACCGCCCAAGAGUUCAUAUCGACGGCGGUGUUUGGCACCUCGAUGUCGGCUCAUCACAUCCUGGGGCUGAAGUAGGUCCCAAGGGUAUGGCUGUUCGCCAUUUAAAGUGGUACGCGAGCUGGGUUUAGAACGUCGUGAGACAGUUCGGUCCCUAUCUGCCGUGGGCGCUGGAGAACUGAGGGGGGCUGCUCCUAGUACGAGAGGACCGGAGUGGACGCAUCACUGGUGUUCGGGUUGUCAUGCCAAUGGCACUGCCCGGUAGCUAAAUGCGGAAGAGAUAAGUGCUGAAAGCAUCUAAGCACGAAACUUGCCCCGA
rnacentral:rRNA from 1 species